GGAUCCUGGUCUGGCUCAGGAACAGGGUGGCCAACAGGUCCAGGGAAGUGAUUCUGCCCCUGGACUCAGCGCUGGGGAGGCCACCCCUGGAGUGCUGUGUCCAGUUCUGGGCCCUCAGCUCAGGAAGGACAUGGAGGGGCUGGAGCAGGUCCAGAGGAGAGCAACGAGGCUGGGGAAGGGACUGGAGCACAAGUGCUGUGAGGAGAGGCUGAGGGAGCUGGGGCUGUUCAGCCUGGAGAAGAGGAGGCUCAGGGGAGACCUCCUCACUCUCUGCAACUCCCUGACAGGAGGGGGGAGCCAGGGGGGGUUGGUCUCUUUUCCCAGGCAACUCUCAGCAAGACAAGAGGGCUGGGUCUUAAGCUGUGCCAGGGGAGGGUUAGGUUGGAUAUUAGGAAGAAUUUCUUUGCAGAGAGGGUGCUCAGCCAUUGGAAUGGGCUGCCCAGGGAAGGGGUGGAUUCUCCAUCCCUGGAGGUUUUUAAGCUGAGACUGGAUGUGGCAUCAGUGCCAUGGGCUGGGAACCACGGCGGGGUUGGAUCAAGGGUUGGACUUGAUGAUCUCAGAGGUCCCUUCCAGCCCAGCUGAUUCUGUGAUUCUAUGAUUCUAUGAUUCUAUGAUUUAUGAAGUCAUCCCUGUAACCAGCCAUCCACCAUCCAUGGACUUAUCCCUCACAAUUACCCAGUGGGUUUUGAUCUCUCCACUGACACCUGGGUGUCCUGCAAAGGCUGCAGAAGCACUGAACAGUGAGUUUGUGGUCUUAAAAACCCUCCUGAAACUCUCUGCCCUGUUCCCAGCACUUAAACUCCCACAGCCUCUUGAAGCCCACGAUGCCGAAGCAUAAACUCAGAGAAUAUUUUUCCCUCUGCUUAAAAUUAGAGAGGCAGACAUCAAGUUUGGUUUAAAGUGGUGUACACACAGCAGAAAGCUGAGAGCUUAUCCACAAGUGGUCUAAGGCAUGGCACAAACUCAAAUGACUCAACACAACAGAUGCUCUUUAUACCUGUCUGACUUUCUGUACAACGUGCUUUGAUCCAAAAGCUUUUAUGGCAACAUUUGAGCCAAAGAUCACUGGGGAAAACAGAGUCCUGUUGACUCCAGAAAGCCCUGGAUCAGGCUGGCAGAGGGAGGAACUGACCAUCAGGUCUGGAGUCAGGAAUGUAAAAUGCACGCGCUCAAAAUUAAAAAUAUGUCUCCUGUGCACUCAGCCUGAUAAGUUAUGUUAAUUCUCCCCCUCAAAAAUGCCUUUUAGCAUUGGGAACACGGGGUCAGCCCAGGAAACCCCUGCCCAUGGCUUUGAACCCCUCUGGACAUCACAUGUUUCCAAGACAACCCACAGGGAAGGAGCCCUGCUCUGGCUGCAUCAGUGGCCUGAGGGAAGGGGAAGGAGUUGAGCAGGCUGGGAGCAGAUUUCCAUGGAAAAAUCAGACAGUGACUUUGGAGGGGGUGAUGAAAUCACCAGGGAUAACAUUUGUCCUUUUUCCCCAUUGCUGCAGCAUGCCAAAUUCCCUGGUUCUGACACGAAGUUCUGAGCUGUGCAAAUAAAUCCAGAAAAACCUGAGAUCCCUGCUGCAAACUGCCCUGACCUGUGCAAAUAAAUUCAUAAAAACCUGGGAUCCCUGCUGCAAACUGCCCUGAACUGUGCAAAUAAAUCCAGAAAAACCUGGGAUCCCUGCUGCAAACUGCCCUGACCUGUGCAAAUAAAUUCAUAAAAACCUGGGAUCCCUGCUGCAAACUGCCCUGAACUGUGCAAAUAAAUCCAGAAAAACCUGGGAUCCCUGCUGCAAACUGCCCUGAACUGUGCAAAUAAAUCCAGAAAAACCUGGGAUCCCUGCUGCAAACUGCCCUGCUGAGGAAAGAAACCCACUGGGGCUUCUGCACCUUUGCUUUCAGUUCUCUUGAGCAUUUCCUUCUCUCUCGCCCAUCUCCAGCCCGUAUCCAGCAGGUGUUUCCAUGGCAACGCCGUGUAAAGCCAUCCUUUCCCUCUGACACGGGAGAAAAUGUUGAAUGGCUGAAAAGAAUUGGCUUGGGAAAACCUGGAACUUCCACUAAAAAUAGGCAAGGCAAUAAUGGGAGGUGAUGGUGGAAAAGCUGCCCCGGGGGCUUCAAACCCCUCCUGGGGGGGGUCUCUUGGUGCAGCUGAAGGCAAUUUGUUGUUUCUCUUUGAUGAGAAGAAAAAAAGGGUUUUGUUUUCUUGUAAGAUGUGGAGCAGCCCUGGCAGUGUUGGCCCUUCAUUCAAGGGGACGUUCCCUUCCCCUCUUAGCAGGAAGUCUCCUAAUUCCAUUUUAUCCCUUAGAAAUGAUUCUGAGGGACCCAGAGGGCCAGGAAGGAGCAGCAGAGCCCCAGACUCUCCCCUAAGGAAUGGCUUUGCUUGAAAGCCUAUAACUCUUCCAGUAAAUCAGUGUAAUUUGUGCUCUGAUGUCCUGCACGGCUUUACAACAAGUGACAAAUCAAUCAUUAUCCAAACAUCCUUUGAUAAUCAGUGUGGUUCCAUUAAUUAUGAUAAAUGCUUUCAGCAGCUGCAGUAUGUGGACCUAAUGCAUAAUUGCUUGGGAAUCAUAUUACCCUACUUCUCUCUUCACUUCAUCAAGUACAAAGUCUCUCCAAAACCUGCCACACUCCAGCAGCUGAAGGCAGAGUUUACACAAUCCACUCUUGCAAGGGUUUAAUUGGAGCAAAUGCAGAGUCCAUUAGUAUUAGUGUUAUUAAAUAUUAAGUAAUAUUCCUUGAAAAAGGGCCCAUUACAGCUUUACAAAUUACAAAUAUACAGGAGGACUCUCUCAGUCUCCUAACCCAGGGGAUUAAUUGGAGCAGUUGUUGCACAGCAACACGGUGCAGGCGAUUAGGACCUCACCUAAUGAGCAGCACUGCAUCCAAUUGGAAUUGCAAGGAAAUUUAGCCUGGCAGAAUGCAAUUACUGCCUUCUGAACCCAACUGGAUCAAAGCCUGGCCCUGUUCUUCAAAAAAUGCACCUUGAAGGAGCGGGGAAAGAGCCCCAGGUGAGAAGGGGCAAUUCCCACCGGUCUUAAAGACACGAGAGGGGAAGGGGCUGAGAGGCCUCGGAUCAAAGGGACAAAUUCAACCAACAGGUCACUGGAUGCACCUCCACAUGAUUAAACCUCAGGGAUUCGGGGCCACAGCACAUCCCUGGGAGCAGCAGUUCAGCUGCCUUUGCAGAAAGAACCGACAUUUCUAUCGGAACCCAGGACUCGUCGUCAAAAUAAGACAACGUGAACUUAGAAAAGAAAAAAACCCCACUUCAGAAUAAAGGAGACAGAGCAGACACAAACCUGGGGAGACUCCUGGAGCACCUCCAUGAGGUCCUUUCUCCUGAUUUUCACCACCUUAUUCUUUAGGCUUCAACCAGAACUUUUCCUUUUCUCAUCUACACGAGUUCUCCUGAGGAAUCUGUGUCCUCAGAUCCUCAGGGAUCCACCCUGGUGUGUCCCCACCUGUCCCUUUCCUGCUUUCAGGGAUGUACAUCAGCCCAGUUCCAAGAGUUGUAUUGCUUUUUAGCAAAGAGGGGUUUAACUCUGUAUUUUCAUCAAUUUUCCCUAAACCUUUUGGCAUUUAAUGAUCUGAAAAUAAACCCUCUUUUGUAUUUGG